UCUCUCUGUCUCUCCCAUUAACACUAACCAAUACAAGCAGAGCACUAAACACCACAUAUGGUCACUAAUUUUCUCAUGGCUGCUUCUUAAUAUGUUCAAAUUUUUCCCAAGCUCCAGAAACCAUCUUAAGUCCAUCUGGACAGGUCGGACCUACUUUAGGCUUUUCCCGUUUCACCAGCAUCCUGUCAGAUACCAAAGCUGCCAGAGUGCAGGAGGGAUGCACGGCUCUAGAGCAACAGACAACAGAGAACACACCAUCCCAAGAUGCCUCUCUACCUCAGAAACUCCCUUCCCUACUCCCCCCAAGAGCCAACCGACGCCCUUCAAGUCAGUUGGAAGCAGUUUUUGGGAGAAAUGACUCCCCAUACCCACUCAUCUGCCAUCUUUUAUAAAAGAUAAGAGUCCGGGAUGAUAGGAAUUCCAACCAUGCCCCACGGUCAUGCGUGCAUAGUGGAACACUUUCUCAUCUCCGCUUAGUCACUUCCGGGUCAUAGUCCUGCAUGACCCGUGCCCCAUGGUUACACAGUCACGUAGUCUCACAGCCGUGACUGGGUGAUCUCUGCACAUGGGCCUGUGUGUGCAGAUGUGUCCUGGCCUUUAUAAGAUGGAAGUUUCCCAUGACCCUGCCAAUCCUGGAGUCCUCUCACUCUGAGUGCAAAUUUCCUCCAGUCCUUCAAAGUGUCCGGAAUUGCUGUUCUUCAAGCCUUGUUGGGUAGCCAUUCCAGCUUGGAUCUGGAAGUUCCAACCCCCAUUGAGACUCUGGCAACUCUCACAACUAUGAGGCAGGGCCAGGGGAGGCACAUGGAGACCGGAGAUCUGGAUGGGUGAGCGCUCUCUUGGUUCCGGGAGGUGGACUUAGCAGAGCUCCAGA